AGUGAACGCUGGCGGUAGGCCUAACACAUGCAAGUCGAACGGCAGCACAGUAAGAGCUUGCUCUUACGGGUGGCGAGUGGCGGACGGGUGAGGAAUACAUCGGAAUCUACUUUUUCGUGGGGGAUAACGUAGGGAAACGUACGCUAAUACCGCAUACGACCUACGGGUGAAAGCAGGGGAUCUUCGGACCUUGCGCGAUUGAAUGAGCCGAUGUCGGAUUAGCUAGUUGGCGGGGUAAAGGCCCACCAAGGCGACGAUCCGUAGCUGGUCUGAGAGGAUGAUCAGCCACACUGGAACUGAGACACGGUCCAGACUCCUACGGGAGGCAGCAGUGGGGAAUAUUGGACAAUGGGCGCAAGCCUGAUCCAGCCAUACCGCGUGGGUGAAGAAGGCCUUCGGGUUGUAAAGCCCUUUUGUUGGGAAAGAAAAGCAGCAGGUUAAUACCCCGCUGUUCUGACGGUACCCAAAGAAUAAGCACCGGCUAACUUCGCG
rnacentral:rRNA from 1 species